rnacentral:lncRNA from 1 species
CAAAAUUUACCACAGUAGGACAAUGCCAGAGCCAGUCUUUUUUUUUUUAUAUAGAACAACAUAACUUUAAACUAUAAGAUGAUGAUUUUUAGAUGAACACAUCUUGAUUGAUUAAAAAGCUGUGUAUGUAGGAAGGGAAUGAAGUAGUAGCUUUACUUCACACUUUAAAAUUGUUUUCAAAAGUAGCCAAUUUUCAUGUAUAAAAAUAACCAUUUAUUCAACUCUAGGUCAAUGAAAGAUAAUUGGAAUUGUACCCAAGAAAACUAAAUCUUGAGUUUUGAUUUUCAACUAAUUAGCUUCUUGCUAAUAUCUGUGUUAAAUUUCAAGGACAAAGUUUAAAAUAUUUAGGAGAUACAUCUUCACAUUUAUA